rnacentral:rRNA from 1 species
AACGCGAAGAACCUUACCUGGUCUUGACAUCCACAGAAUCUUGCAGAGAUGCGAGAGUGCCUUCGGGAACUGUGAGACAGGUGCUGCAUGGCUGUCGUCAGCUCGUGUUGUGAAAUGUUGGGUUAAGUCCCGCAACGAGCGCAACCCCUAUCCUUUGUUGCCAGCACGUAGAGGUGGGAACUCAAAGGAGACUGCCGUUGAUAAAGCGGAGGAAGGUGGGGACGACGUCAAGUCAUCAUGGCCCUUACGACCAGGGCUACACACGUGCUACAAUGGCGUAUACAAAGGGCUGCGAAGGUGCGAACUGGAGCGAACCUCAUAAAGUACGUCUAAGUCCGGAUUGGAGUCUGCAACUCGACUCCAUGAAGUCGGAAUCGCUAGUAAUCGUGAAUCAGAAUGUCACGGUGAAUACGUUCCCGGGUCUUGUACACACCG